AGUUACCAACCCUUGUGCAGUCAGCAGCACUAGUUUCAGCUGGGCUUCUCUAUGAGGGAUCAGUUCACCCGCCGACAAUGCAGAUUCUUCUGGUUGGAUUGGACAGGUGUAUUUAUAAUCUUCAAUGACUUGAUCAGUUGGGUAUCGCAAAUCUACUGAUCAACCUACCCCUUCUCUCAAAUAAUUGGUGAGGUUGGUUGGGCUAGGAUUUGAUUGAGUGGGUUGGUGCACUCCCAAUUGUUUGAUUUUAAUAAUGUUUUUAAUAAUAUGAACUAUUCAAUUAUGUGGUACUAACUAAUUGCUUUGGAUUGCAAGACAAUGAAUGAUAUAGCCAUUAAACCUUAAUGUGAAUGAAAAGUACUCUUGUUAAUGCCCUAUUCAGCUACAAGUGUGGAGUGUUAUGUAUUCUUUUCUUAACUGUCCUCUGAUACUCCUCCUCUCUCUCUCUCUCUCUCUUGUGGGUGCACUCCUGCAGACAACACACGCACAUGAUGCCUUUCAGUUAUGAUUACAUAAAUUACU